CCUACGGGCGGCAGCAGUAGGGAAUCUUCCACAAUGGGCGAAAGCCUGAUGGAGCAACGCCGCGUGGGUGAAGAAGGUCUUCGGAUCGUAAAACCCUGUUGUUAGAGAAGAAAGGUCGUGAGAGUAACUGUUCACGUUUCGACGGUAUCUAACCAGAAAGCCACGGCUAACUACGUGCCAGCAGCCGCGGUAAUACGUAGGUGGCAAGCGUUAUCCGGAUUUAUUGGGCGUAAAGGGAACGCAGGCGGUCUUUUAAGUCUGAUGUGAAAGCCUUCGGCUUAACCGGAGUAGUGCAUUGGAAACUGGGAGACUUGAGUGCAGAAGAGGAGAGUGGAACUCCAUGUGUAGCGGUGAAAUGCGUAGAUAUAUGGAAGAACACCAGUGGCGAAAGCGGCUCUCUGGACUGUAACUGACGUUGAGGCUCGAAAGCGUGGGGAGCAAACAGGAUUAGAUACCCGUGUAGUC
rnacentral:rRNA from 1 species